GUAAGAUCAUAAUAAUCGGUCCUGCGGACGCUGGCAGCUACCUCAAUACUCCGGCAACUGGAUAAGCAAUAGCAUCGACGCUAGACCUCUGGAGCACCUGGAUCUGCACACAAGGUGCAGGGAGUAUUGGGUGAGUCUACCAACUCAGCGAGUAAUAAGCAUGUAUAAAAACCCGAAGAUAAGAAAUCACAAAAAAACACAAAAUGAAGCUAUCUAGUAGUUCUAUACAGUACAACCCUCAAAGAUUUGCAUAUAAAGCAAUAGUAAUUAAAUGCAUGAGAUGCAAUGCAAUGCAUGACUACUGCGGCACGUGCAGCUCGCUCCAUUUGGGUACCCGCGCUCACUGUGGGGGUUCAGACUCCUGAGGGGCUAUGAACACUGCGGAACGUGCAGCCCGAUCCAUAUGGGUAUCGGCGCUCACUGUGGGGGUUCAGACUCUGGAGGGGCUCCUACAGCCCAAGCGCCAUAUCAUACAUUGCCAAUAGUUACCAUUGUUUCCAUUAUAAUACAUGGUGUCCUUAGUUACCACCGUUUCCAUCACAAUACCCGGUGUCCAUAGUUACCACCGUUUCUAUUUACAAUACACAGUGUCCUUAGUUACGUUUCCAUUUAAAAUACACGGUGUCCUUAGUUACCAUCGUUUCCAUUUAAAAUACACGGUGUCCAUAGUUACCACCAUUUCCAUUGGUGUCCAUAGUUACCACGGUUUCUAUUUAAAAUACACGGUGUCCAUAGUUACCACCGUUUGCAUUUAAAAAUACACGGUUUCCAUAGUUACCACCGUUUCUUUUUAAAAUAAUAUACAGUCCAAAAAUAGCGAGAUAGUACUCGUCAACCGGAUAUAUCAUUUAAAAAUCAUUUCUGAGCUUGCAAAACUAAUAUUUAAACCCGGACUGAGUUCAAGUAAUAUGUAAUUCAUGAAAAUUCUAAGAUAACGAUCCCUGAAGGAUUCCACAAGUCGGCACAAGGCCCCAAACAUGGAAUCAAGCCGAGAUAUCAUCAAUAUAGUAUGCGAAGCAAUCGCCAACAUAGUACAAAAUAUCCCUCGGAUUGGACCGAGUGACAAUUUCCAACAUAUACGACCCCACACUAGCCAGGCUAGGGCACGUGGCCAAGUCGCGUCUGCGAUGACCAUUUAAAUACUGGGCAAAAAUUACUUCUUCGCGAACGCAGUGCCCAACCGCGAACGCGUACAGCACUGCCACCCCCUUCAUCGCGAACGCGUGCCCUAGCCGCGAACGCGAAGGGAAAUAGCCCUGGGACCCCCUUCACACGACCAAUACCCUAUGCAAACGCACCCCUUUAGGACAUGUGUGAUUAACUUCNNNNNNNNNNNNNNNNNNNNNNNNNNNNNNNNNNNNNNNNNCACAGCAUGCUUCCCAUUUGCGAACGCGAAAGGGACCCAGACCUACACGAACGCGGGACUGCCUCGCGAACGCGAAGGCCAAAAUGGACCUGCAACUAUUGCUGCAUUUCUGCAGCACUAUUUAACCUCCAAACUCCUCGUUUAAUCAUCUAGAAUCACCCCGAGGCCCCCGGGACCUCAAUCAAAAGUACCAACACAACAUAACACCUCAUUCAUACUUGCUCGGGCCAUAAGAACUCUAUCUUUAACAUAAAAAAUUAGCAAAAUCAUUGAAUUUCAUUCUAAGUUAAAGUAGAACUUUUCAAAUUCGCAUUCGAUCCAAAACCCAACCAAACGCCGUCCGGAUGACCUGAAAAUUUGCAGAAAUAUCCAAAAUCACUUUAAAAAGCUACUGCAACUCUCGGAAUUCCAUUCCUACCCUCGGAUCAAAAUCUCACCUAUCAACUGGAAUUUGCCAAAAUUCGAACUUAGCCAAUUCAAGCCUAAUUCUACACCGGACCUCCAAAUUCGAUUCCGAUUUUGCUCCCAGGUCAUAAAUCACCAUCCAAAACUAGUCAAAUCAUCGGAAAUCCAUUUUGAGCUCUCUAACUCACAAGUCAACGUCCAAUUGACUUUUCCAACUUAAGCUUUCCUAAAAAAAUACUAUUGGUCUCAUUUCUAACCAAAUUCAAUCCAACACAUCUCAAACUCACAAAACACAUAUAUCAACACACGGGGAAGCAUAAUACGGGGAUAACGGGGCUGAAAUACAAAAGACGACGGGUCGGGUCGUCACAUAACACGGUCGCUCAACUGUUGUAUUUGAUUUUAUCUGAUUUUAAUACAUGCUAACUCAUGUGCUUUUUAAUUAUAAACCACUUUUUUAAUUAUGGUAAAUGAAUUGCAACAUCGUGAAAAUGCUUCUCAAACCACGUCGCAAUCAAUGCACCCGUAGUUGUCAAUGCACUUUGACUGCGUUGAGAUUUGGAUUUGGGUCUCAUCAAUACGCACCGGAUUUUAAGAAAGUAACUUAAUUAAAUCGCGCCUAAAGAGUCUAACACGAUAUUAUUUUAGGGAAGGUCGUGAAAUUCACUAAACGGCCCUCCCAAAUUCUAAGUAAUUUAUUGAACAUUUAUUGAGGGCCCCGCAUUUGUACAUUUAUUAUUGGACAAGGCUCGUCUCACUUUUUUUUAAAAAGAGCAAGCCUAAAAGUAAUUACGAUUUAUCUAUGUUUUGUUUUGUCUCUAAAAGAGUAAAAAAAUCCUAAUCAAUUAACAUUAUACUAAACCUUGAAUUGAAAUUUCUAAAGCAGGCCCAAUUUAUGAGCCACAUAGUUCUUCGUGGGAAUUGAUUGCAGCAUGUGGGCCUCCAUGUGGCCGAAGCAAAUCAAGCUGCCAGGGGCGAUCAAAUGAUCGAAUCCCCUGGAGUUGGCGAGCUCAUGAUUUAUUUUAAACACUUACCCCUUCUGUGAAUGUUCAGAAUCACAGCCAUCAUUAAUAUUCACCUUAUAGCAAUUACAGGAAUCCAAAACAUAAUGACUUAUAUCUGGGCAUGAAAUUGAGUUAACUCUACUGACCGCAUCAAACUCAUAAAAUCAGUGGAGUACAAAUUUGUUUGACAACUCAAUAUAACCUAACAGUCCAAAUUGAGUUGGUAACCCAAAUAGUUCAAAUCAUUGGCAAAAGUCCUAAUUACAGUCUACACUUAUUAUUCAUGUGCUAUCAACAAAAGUUAACCAAAUAGCUACAACAAUUUGUUAACCAACAAAAUGUAUUCCUCGACAUGUAGAUCUGAUGAAGCAUCUUUAUUUCAACUUCAAUUCAUAAUUACAUCAAAGGGAGUUCAGAAAUGAAUACCUGGGAAUCAAAAUUUCAAUAGGAGAAGAAGUUAGAACAGCAGCAGUGAGCAAAAUUCACCCAGCUAGGAAUCAUAAAAUCAAGUGCCAAUCAAGCAGUCAAACCACAAUCCACACCUUCAGCAAUCAAAAACCCCAACCAAACACGACUAAAUCCCAAUCUAAUUCGAUAUUAAACCCAAUCCAAGUAGCUUAGGGACUUCAGUUAUCAACUCAUGAAUGAAAAGCAACAAAUUAACAACUACACUAGAGAUGGACCAUACAUUCCAUUAGAACAGUUUCUGAUUACUUUUUCUUUGGAGUUUUUCUAUUGUUUUUUUGUUAAGUUUUGAGUUUGAAUUUCAAAGCUCAGACCUGAAACUUGAAGAACAUAUUUUGGGGGGGAAUCUUU
rnacentral:lncRNA from 1 species